CCCGGUGUGGCGAAAUUGGUAGACGCACCAAUUCUGGAAAUUGGCGGCUGUGCAGGCCUUGUGGGUUCAAAUCCCGCCGCCGGGACCA
rnacentral:tRNA from 1 species